GUCGCACAGGAGGAAUGGAGGGGAGUUGAGAGAUGAACGCCUUGUGCAUUCCAAACAGCUCGGUUGGCACGGUUUAGCGAGAGUGCUGCUCAUGUGUGAAAUAAUUAUUUGACCCAGUUAAAGUGCAGCUGACGUCAGACGGAUGUUUGCAGGACUUGUUUUCGAGCAAAGAGAAGAAAGUCGGUUGCCCUGGAGGAGUGGAGGCAGGUUGGAGUCAUGUCCUACAUAACAACCCUUCAUGAGUUUCCCCAUCAACUCUGCUAUUCUUGGACCUUAGACAGGCAUCCCUUUAGAAGAAACCUCUGCAUACGAGCUACCUCGCAAAACUCUGAAUAAAGUCCAACAGAGUGAGUGAAAGUGUUAAAGUGGCAGUAUUGAGUAUUUUCCAGCCACAUAGUGGUAUUUUAUAGCAUAAUCAAGUAACUAUGUUAACUUCAGUUGUUGUGAAAAUUCUAUAUAUACCAAAUAUGACAAAAGAAAUUAAACCUUGUAAUGUAAUCCCUUUAAACUGGGCUUCUGCCUCUUUAAAACGUCCCGCUCUUCCUGAAACUCCGCCUUCAGUAACUCAUCAUGGCUCCUAUUAACCCUUUAAGAACAUUUUUUUUUUUUUUUUUUACCAGAGUUUAACUGAGAAGUAGCUUAUAAUGAGCUCAGUCAUAUGCACAGCUCCAUCAGGUGUUUGCUAAUUGCUGCUGGCUAGUCUGAAGGAGCUGAGUGGGGGAGUUGCGGGGCAAGGUUGCUCUGUGAGGCGGAAAGCUUGGAAACUGCAGGAGCUUUAUCGUUGAAGGUCUAACCAGCUGAAUGGUUGCCAUGGAGAUUAAAGGAUUUCUCAGACAUGUAUGAAAGAAUUAAGUCAACAUAGGUAUGUUCUUGAUGAGGGAAAAGCAUUAUAACAUGAUGUAAAGCAAAAUAAAAGUCAAUUUUACAAUAAAAAGAAAAAGGUUUGGUUCCAGACUACAUCAAGUCCAGUCACAAGUCUGUAAAAAAAUCUGACUGAGAUCCAGAUGUGAGAACCCAGUUAGAGACUGAACAGAGAGUUACAAUCUGUGUCUAAAUCACUGUCAUGAGCUCACGCCUUUAAUCCGCUCUGCAUUCAGAGGGACAGAUGUGCACUUUAAACGAUGCCGUGCAGCUGGCAGGGCGCAGUAGCGGCGACCGAUCAGGUCACCGUGGUAACGCGGCAUCUGACCCACUGGCCCAGUAAACAGACCGAUUUAGAGAUCACACUGGAAGACUACGAGGUUGACCUCGGACUCGCGCGCGUGCAGUCGCCAAAUCUGCGGCUAAAUUCCUCAGAUUCCAGAUUAUCAGUGAAAGAGGCCAAACAAGAAUUAAAAAAAAAAAAAAACAUUGUGGGGAAGGAAGGAAUCCAUAACUCUCCCGUCUCUGACGUCAUCAGAGUGUCGGUUCCCCUCCGAGGCCGCCGGACCCGACUCAUGCGUCAGGGGGUCCGAGGUGACGCACCCUCGCAUCCGAACACUCUGUCUCGGUGCCAUUCAGGAAAGCGCAUUCCCAUGGCAACACCACAAUUUGCAUGUCACUCUGGUUGUCAUAGCAACCAGAGAGAAGCGGUAUUGGCGAGGCUCAGGUCAGGUUGUUUCUGGCGUUUUCAGGAGUCACAAUCAGAUGGUCCCAAUCCGGUUUGGACCUGUCGUUCUAACUGCUGCAGGCGACAACAGGUCGACCCGACAACAGCCGUCCUGAGAGCAACGCUUUGCACCGACGGGAUGCAGACGCUCUGCUCUGAAACCUGGACAGAUGCCCUCUGACAGCAGGCUGUGGAAGGAGCAGAGAAAAAAUCCUGCUGGAGUUUAACGUGGAAGGAAACAUUGUGUCACUGAGACUCCAACACAAGAUGAUAUAAAGUGAGAUUGGGCCACAUUCAGGGUCACGUCUGGAGUCGAGGUAUUCGCAGUUUUCCUGGAUGCACUUUCCGUGGCGCUAGUGACCUUUACUCACAUUAAUCAGACACAGAAAAUGGGAAAACAUGCAGCAAAGGUCUUAAGGAAUCCAACCCCAGAUGUUCUUGACGAGGGAAAAACAUUAUAACAUGAUGUAAAGCAAAAUAAAAGUCAAUUUUACAUAAAAAAUUGAUUAGUCCAGAUGAGGACUAAUGGCUUCGAUACAAGAGGUGACCACUCUGAUGUCAGGCACUGCAACACUAAAUUUUCUUCUUUUUUUUUUAUCUAUUUGGAUGAUCUCACAUUUCUAGAAAUGUCCACAUUUGAGUACUUGUUUCACUGCUUAUGGCUCUACUUUUAAAGUUGCAGUACGUAACUUUUAUAAAAUAUUUUUUUUACCUAUUUGUUGAAACUGCCAAUACGCCAUGACAGUUUAUGAGACAGAUAAUCUGUGGGAAACUGUAGCUGCUCUGCCUUGUGCUAGUGCUAAGUAUAAAGAACCAGUCAAAUUCAGGAGGCAUGUCUUAGUGCUGUCAAUCACAGUCUUGUUGGUGCUGCCCAUCGUUUUUAUUGUACAGCUAGAAGAGCCUGUUGUGUAUGCUAAGGGCAAUUAGCUUGGCCAACGGUGAUGGUAGAUAAAUGGUUUUCCUGUAACAGUGAGUUGUCUCUCUGCCAUUAGGACAUUUAAUAGAGAGUACAUGAGAUGGAUUGACAGCGCUAAGCCCCUCCUCCUCGCUCUUAUUGGUUGAUUUUGGUUGGGAGCGGUGCGUUUCUUCAGACAAUAGCAGCUCAGACAGGAGGUGGAGGAGAUUGAUCAUUUCACAUAUCUAUUUCAUAACACACUGUCACAAUAUGACAGUUUGAACAAAUAUGUAAAAAGGUUUUUUUUCUAUAAAAAUUACUUAC